rnacentral:sRNA from 1 species
AAAAGCAUAAAAUAUCAUAACGCUAAAGACUACUGCUAUAGAUCUAGCGGAAGCAGUCAUAAUACGAAGUCAUGGCUACUACGCAAAACUGAAGGCAAACCACAACUACAGAAACGGGUGACCAUAUUUACAAAGCUUUCCCUAGAGCAUGAAGAAAAACAGAAAAUUGUUAGUAUAAUAUCAAUGGGAAACAUGAUAACGAAAGGAUGCAGCAUGGCAGUAACAAAGCAAUAAAGGAGUCAUACACAAAACAGCUCCUAUUAUUCUACGUGAUGCUGCCAUGAUUACCAGAGACACUCAGCAAAUGCAACCCAAAAUUUCACAUCAAAUGAUGCUGAACGACUUAAUGGCUGCACCCACGCCAAUCAAAUCAGAGAUAAAUUGUACAGAGAGUUAGAAAAAGAAAAUCUAAAAUUCCACAACGUUGCCGACGAGGUUUUGGCAGCAUACUCAAUGUGUCAAAACGGCGAAAGCAACAUUUAGGGCAUUAUUUGUAACACACAAAAAAGGAAAAAAAAGCCCCCCCCCCC